GUAUAAACGAAUAUGGAAAUAUCAUUGAAUAGAUUAAUAUCGCCCUGACACGUUAUUUACAGUUGGACCGCAUCAACCCGGAUCAAUUCGGCAAACCCCCGGCGAAGUGCACGUAGACUUGACCGUGGAUGAUGAUGAUGAUGAAUCCACCAAUAGUAUUAACAGUGAACCGACGACCGCGUCUCA